GAUGAACGCUAGCGGCAGGCUUAACACAUGCAAGUCGAGGGGUAUAUAGAAAGCUUGCUUUUUAUAGAGACCGGCAAACGGGUGCGUAACACGUACGCAACCUACCCUAAAGUGGAGGAUAGCCUUUGGAAACGAAGAUUAAUACUCCAUAAUAUCAUAAUGCGGCAUCGUAUAAUGAUUAAAGAAUUUCGCUUUAGGAUGGGCGUGCGCCUGAUUAGAUAGUUGGUGAGGUAACGGCUCACCAAGUCGACGAUCAGUAGCUGAUGUGAGAGCAUGAUCAGCCACACGGGCACUGAGACACGGGCCCGACUCCUACGGGAGGCAGCAGUGAGGAAUAUUGGUCAAUGGAGGCAACUCUGAACCAGCCAUGCCGCGUGGAGGAUGAAGGUCCUCUGGAUUGAAACUUCUUUAUGGAAGAAACCCGAGAUUUCUAUCUUGGUUGACGGUACCUAACGAUAAGCACCGGCUAA
rnacentral:rRNA from 1 species